CUGCAGCUAUAGGCAAAGCAUCUCGAUCGAAAUGAAUGUGCUUGCACCGAGCAGGUAGUAACGAGUUGAAGUGAAUUUUAUCGCAGAAACACACACAAUCAACUCAUCGUUUUGCACGUUGGCUCACAACCACACCCGAUGAAUAUGUCUACUUUUUGAGAGAGAGCAUGAUCAUAUACUUUUGCAAUCAUAUAUACCGGCCUAUGUAAAGCAGCCUGGGAAUAUUAAAGCAUGAGUUAGGAAACCUGCUGCACGAAUUCCUAUUCGUUAUAUCAGCUACUGCACAAGCACAGACAAAAAGUUUGCUACAUCAGUCAAUCUAGAUACUUUAUUCAAGCCCCAUUAAAUGAAAUACUGCCAAAAAUUACCACCAAGCUAAAGUUUUGACACAUUCAGUGAAAUCCAAACCGAAACCAAACGUGGAAUGUCCAAUGCAAUGUAUCGCUUGGCAACACUGGUAAGCUUGCUGCGCCGGCAGCACAUGGACGGCAGCUGUCAGAUACCGAGGCCUGUUUUCGUGUGUAAUUUUCGUUCGUGCAUCCGUGUUAACGCAAUGUUCUCCGCGGUUUGUGUGUUAUUCGUGAACGCAAUCGGAACGAGUCCUCAUCAACGCAGUUUAACGCGACUGUAAGUAAAGGGAAGCAGCGGGCGCCUUCACCGGCGCGGCCCUCGGCGAUCGCUUUGUUUGUAUGUGUCGCGCGCACGGUUCAACUUUUGAAUACCGUGGCUGCGCGUUGUCGCAGUGCAGUGAUGAUUAUAUGCCAGUGCUCAUCGUGAAACUGCACAAACCGCGUCACUGCUGAUGGAGCUGCCACGUACGUAGACGGCGGCGCCCGAGAAGACCUUUUCUGAAGAGAAUGCGUGCCUGGCGAUUGCCACUUCCAGUCGCAACUUUUACAAAGUGGCAGCUGGCCUCCAUGGGGCGGUGCAGACAGGGGACUGUCAUUGCUGGAGCACCUCCUGGCUAUCCACAGGAAAUGGAAAAAACAUGGUAAAUUCAAACCCCCUCUGGUUCUCAUUUUCAUGUUUCCAUAAGUGUGUGUGUGUUCAUCACCCUGAAGUUACUUAAAUUUGAAAACGAAGCCAUAUAAAGUAUACUCAUGGUCUCACCUAGUGCAUUAUUAAACAUAAAAGUACAAAAUCACGCAGCUUAAGAACCUCAAAGAUAAUUUGUAGCAGAUCAGUCACUGCAGAGGUCAGGAUAUGUAUUGUCGAUGCUCGCAGACAAUAGAAUUGCAGACUUGUUCAUCAUUAAAAGCAAUUAUACAUUUAGGGUGUGAACAUUUGGUAAUGGUUUGAGUGAAUGCUAGAGACGACUGCAUGAAUAUGCCACCCCUAACGUAAUGCCCUGACAGAGGCCCUUAAAGAUGAAAUAAAUGACGAUAAGAAGCUUGGUAACAGAUUUGUGCAACGAGCGAAUUGUAGCACGCACAGGGAAUAAUACACGAGAAGGCACAAAGAAUACACACACGUAGCACUUCAUUGUGCCUUCUCAUAUCUUUAUUCCCUGUUCGCGCUACAGCUCGCUCAUUUCAACAUGAACAACCAACAAGCCCACAUCGCCACUCAGAUUUGUGCAGUUUCCUUCGAGUCAUAUUUGGGUAAAGUACCACAGACUAUAUUUUAAGUGAAAUAAGUUAUAUUUCCUCGUUUAAUUGGCCAACACUGUAGUUAGGCUCUGGGUAUAUUUUGGCCAGGCAUCAGCGUGCUACAGUCAAAUUCAAACUUGCGAAACUAAAAAGCAAAAAGAAAGGGAACUGUUUCCUCAUGCAUACCGCCGCAAACAGCGUGCGUCACUGUUACUGAAUAUUAGCAACAAUGCUUCUUUCCCAUUGUUGCUUAAUACUGUUUUCACAACGCGGACGACACCGUGUCAAAGGAAGUUAUGGAAAAGAGACUGAAAUCAGUGCACUGGUACCCCUUGCAGCAAUUGGGUAAUGUGCUGUAGUAGUGAACUUUGCAAUAAAGUUUUAUCUCUGUUCAUAUUGCUUUCAGAUGUUAUAAAUGUGAUUUCCACAUCACACACAUACCAUGACCUGAAGUUUUGGAUGGAAUGGUGAGCAUAUUUAUGCAGUGAGCCAUCUUAAGUGCCGACUGGCAUACUCUAGUGUUCAAAGGCACUGAAUAUAUUCUAAUUAAGACUGCAAGACUGUAAUGCAAUCACAGUCAGAAUUCAUCAAUUCAAUAAACAAUACACAUUUGAACAGUGGUCUCCGGUACAAUGGCAUACCGACAAACAGUAGAAUAGGUAGUAGACAGGUAGUAGACUUGUAGGCUUGUAGACCUGUAAACUUGUAUGCCGAUUGGCUAGUAGACCAUCAAGGUCUGAAAUUAGGGUUAGCCAACAGACAUGUAAGCUGAUAGCUGGUUGGAAUUUUUUACUGGAGAUAUUCAUAUAAAAUUCCAGACCCGCCGUAGUGGCUAAGGCGUACGUACGUUGCUCUACUGAACUGAAAGCUCAGGAUUGAAUCCCGGGCGCGGUGGCAUUUCGAUGGAAGUGAAAUGCACUAGAUGCCUGUGUGCCAUAUGCAUUGGGUGCACAUUUUUUUAAAAACCACAGGGAGUUAAAAUAAUUCGGAAUGCCUCGAUCACCAGCGUGUGCCUCAUCAUAAAAUUGUGGUUUUGGCAUGUAAAAACCCAGAUUUUAAUUUAUUGAAUUUCCAAAUAUGACCAUAUACAGGAUGUUUCAGCGAACUCUUUCAAAAAUUCUUAAAGGUUGCUUGUGGCAGGUAUCACAAUUCUAGUUCAUGAGCUGGUCUACUCGAAGAGGCGGACGUUACUUCCACAAGAAAUUGAAAUGCAUAAUCGAAUAUUUAACAGAAAUUUACUAAUUAAGUUUUUAACUAAUUACCUGAUGGCUCAUAUUGCAAUUUACAAAUUGUAGCCUUGGAGUUCGCCAGGCGGAUCCACUUGGAACAAAUUCUUGGGAUGACACCAGUUUCGAGAUAUAAAUUGCCGAACUUUGCGGAGAAACGCAUUGGCGUUCCAAUUAGUUUCUUAACAAAUCGUUGCUUUAUGCAUUGAAGCACCAAAUUAACUGGAACGCCAAUGCAUUUCUCCGCAAAGUUCGCGAAUUAAUAUCCCGAAACUGGUGUCAUCCCGAGAAUUCGU